GCAGGAAGUAGGUCACUGUUGGACAGGUGCCUUUGAAGGUGGUUCUGUCUAGUCCCCAGUUCUGUCCUCUGCCCUGCUUCCUGCCCACUACGAGGUGAAGAGUCCCCUCCAGUGUUCUGGUGGCCAUGAUGUCUGCCUCCCUACGAACCCAGAAUCAACAGAACCAAAGACCGUGGAUGGAGACCUCAGUUGUUCGCACACGCAUGAGGAGAGUUGAGUUAACACAUCGGGAUUAUGACGUAAACCACGAGAAAACCCUUUGGGACAAGAACUGCAUCUGGUGACUCCUUCCAUUCCCCAACACCACAUGGCAUUGGACUUUGCACACCGAGUUCGGCAGAUAACACGUUAAAUAAAU
rnacentral:lncRNA from 1 species